rnacentral:tRNA from 1 species
GGAAGUGCCAAGGUCUCUGGUGGGCCUCCUGGACUUCAAAUCCAGUGUGAGGGGCUAGUAACCUCUCAGGUGGGUUCGAUUCCCAUGCACUUCCGCCA